AAGAAUUACAUUAUAUAUAAACCAGUGACCUGGGGUCAUGGCAUUAGGAGGGUUCUACGUGACCAAAGCACACCUUAGAUUAUGCUAUGCGUUGUCUGCAGUAGCCUGAUCUAGCUCAAAGCUUUGUCAACAUUUUUAUGUUAUGAUAACUUUGCACAACAACUUCCAUGGGAAGAGGUUGACCUGUUAACCUACGCCGGAAACUUGUAACUUCCGAGCCGGCGAACUACGUAUGUGUUUUUAUAUGAAUUGCUUAGAUAGCUAAUGUUCCGCUAUCGACGCGAUGCUUUAGAAUGGCAGUUUCACGCCAACAGUCAAACAUAUCGGUCGUCCGACCGAGCUGCAUCUCCUAGUAUGGAGUUACAGAAUAAAGUUGUUAACUUGUUCAACUAGCCUGUUUGAAUCAUCUCCUCUAGACAAGAAAGAACCUCUCUACUAAGAUAUCCAAGGGAGAUGAGAGGAACCAAACAUUACUUACGGAUAACAGCCGUAAGGAAAAACAAAAAGUCUAUCGCCAAGCGAUAAGACAUUAGAAAAUGGUGGCAGCUAAUAAACGAAGAACAUAAUUAACAAGACCCAUAUCAGCCGACCGAAGGUCUACAAGAACUAACUUCCACCUUCAACAUCAAACGAAACAGAGGAAACGGGAUCUUCAAUCAACGCAACAGUUUAUGAAGACGCAACGAUGUCCUUCAUCGAGAGGAAUACAAGCAUUUAACACUGACGUUUGAGCAACUGUUAUCACUUAUCUUCGAGUAUCUACACCGGACGAGGGCGGCAUCGAACAUCAACGGAAAGAAGAAAACAAACACAGGGAACAUCACCCGUUCACGAGCAAGGACGCAGAGUGGACAGCUAUACGCAGUAGUGCAAGGACGGAGGCUGUGACGUCAUCCAUCUUGGACUCUACCGCGCAUCGUGCACCGAGAGAAGGCCGUGACGUCAUCACGACUUCCGACGCGAGACGUCAUCCCAUGUCAACAAUCCUUCGCAAUAUAAUCUGGAGCUAAGUACCAUUUUUAUCUAUUCAGGUCUUUUCCUCAGUGAAGUGUUGUUCAUCAAGAGUCGAUCGUCCAGUAUUCUGGGGGUUUUCAAAAAUGAAUCUGUUAUUGUUGGGAGUGAUAUUGUGUAUUCAGACAUCUUUGUUGUAUGGAAAGAGUGCUAGGACUAAAGACAUAGAAUUUAAUCAUGGCUCGAUUAUCGAGAGAAUCGAUGAUGUAUUCAUCGUGUCAAGUAAUAUUGUUAUCGAGGUAGAUAUGCAUGCUAUUUUCCUACCUGAAGAUGACGUCCUUAACUUAAAGAAUGACCUGAUGAGGUUUGGUAUUUCCCUUAAGGAAAUGCAUGAACGUAAUUUUCAUGCUAACUCAGAGAUUUCACUAGCUCAAACGCUAAGCGUCGCAGAAAUGUUGUCUUAUGACAUACAAAAUAAAACCGCCGAGGCAGAAGAACUCGCUCGUGACCUGCUGAUGUGGUCUGUGCGGCACAAUACUCUUGAACGCCGCAACCCGCUUAUUCUAGCUGGACUAAACAUCUUAGGAUCAGUUGCGAAUCUAGGCUUAGGAAUCUCAAAUCGCCUCAAGAUAAAUAAUCAAAAUAAAAGAAUUGAGUUUUUGCAACACAAAACGGAACUGGCCUUAUCAGAACUUCGCAGCCAGUUAUCUUCGAUCAAUCAAAUAAUGAAUAUCGUUAAUGAACAUUCAAAUAAUAUCGAUCAGGUCAUGGAAGUUCAACAUUUGCUGGCUACUUUAGCUUACUAUAGUUCGAAAAUAGAUCAUAUCCGUGUGAAAAUAUCACAUUUAUUGAAAAGUCAAAAGAUUACGUAGAAGCAAUUACGUUAGCAACAAAGGGUGUGUUAUCUCCUCACCUCAUGCCUAUAAAAGAUCUGACGUUAACUUUAGAAAACGGACGGGAGAAGCUAGGUUAUAUUCCUUUAUUGGAUGCCCAUAAAGUAGAAUUCUAUUAUAGCCUAAUAUCAGUCAGCGUAGAAAAUUAUAGAAUUAUGAUCACGAUUCCUUUUGAUUCUUCCGAUGCUUGGCAAUCAUACAAAAUAGCACCGUUUCCUACUUUUAUGACGAAUAACUCAAAUCCAGUAAUAUCCAAUUUAACAGGGCAUGUACUGAUUUCUUCUGAUAAGAAAUCAUUUACAGUCAUUAAAGACUUAGAUAAACUCACUCACUGUUCAGAAGCCAUGAAUAAUAAAAUUUGUACAGCUGACUCUUUUGAAUUCUAUCCUAUAUCAACGGAUUCAUGUGAGUUAGACAUAGUGCUAAACGGCUCUCUCUCUCAUACAAGCGAAGGUUGUCUGGGGAAACUUUAUCCCUUUUACGGUAAUAAAUUCAAUUACAGGAUGAAUAAUGGGUCCUGGAUCCGUUAUGAUAAGGCCGGAUUCGACGUCGUGUGUCCGGACACAUCCACCGCCCAUGCCCCUAUCUUCGUAGCAGCCGAUGGUUGUACGGGGAAAUCUACAAAUUAUACCGUCAGAGGGGUCAACACGAUAAUACGUGAGAAGGCGUAUUUCGCGAACUACACGUGGGCUACAACAAUCAUCCCAUCACUACCUCUCCCAUACAACGCGCGAGUAGCUCAUCGUCUGACGCAACUGGCUGAGUUGACCCACGCGUCAUCGACUUAUGCAGGUGGAGAACAUCUUCGCUACUACAUUCUGCUAGCCGUGUUCAGCGUGACGGCCAUAUUGGUUAUCGCCGUCAACAUCUUUGCUUGGCGUAGGCUGAGGCGUAAACAGAAGGAUCUCCAAGGGAACGUACUGGCCCGUCUGGAUGACGUACCCGUUAAACUCAAGUCGUUUGCGUUUCGGGCCGCCUGAACCUGGCCACUUCAGUUCGUGCCUAGGGAAUUGUCUGGAAUUGUGUUGUGUGUGAAAAGCGGUCCGUAUGCUGGCAACAAUGUAGGACAAGAAAGACUCACGCCUUUGCAUUUGAACAGUUAAAGUAUCUCCAGGGCGCCUAAUAAAUCAUUAUAGCCCAAUAUUAUACAUUAAUAUAUUCCUAAAGGUAUUUUUCGGGCACCUAAUAAAAUAUCAGCCCUAUAUAUUGAAUUUCUGCAGAAUUACAUUGUUAUACUAUUAUACAAUUAUAUUUAUCUAUUAUAAAGAGUGACAAGUACUCUUUAACAAUUAUCCAUGAUCAUGCUAUAAUCAUUAUUUAGUAACCAUUAUUCUUAAUCAGGUUACAUGUUAUCAUAUUAAUCAUGUAUACAUGUUUUGAUUUUUACCAUUUUAUUAUAUUUGGGUACAUAAUCAUUAUUAUUACCAAACAUGGAUCUAUAUUUUCCAUGCAUUUAUCUUUGUUUAUGAAUAUGUCAACAAGGGUAUGUAACAGAAUCUUUUUAUGCAUUUAAUCACUUAGUAUGUUACGAGCACGCUCCUAUGAACAAUGUUUAAAGUAAUUUUUUUUUGUUAUUCAAGGCUUGAAUAGGUAGCAGACCGAGCCUAAUGUAAGAAUUACAUUAUAUAUAAACCAGUGACCUGGGGUCAUGGCAUUAGGAGGGUUCUACGUGACCAAAGCACACCUUAGAUUAUGCUAUGCGUUGUCUGCAGUAGCCUGAUCUAGCUCAAAGCUUUGUCAACAUUUUUAUGUUAUGAUAACUUUGCACAACAACUUCCAUGGGAAGAGGUUGACCUGUUAACCUACGCCGGAAACUUGUAACUUCCGAGCCGGCGAACUACGUAUGUGUUUUUAUAUGAAUUGCUUAGAUAGCUAAUGUUCCGCUAUCGACGCGAUGCUUUAGAAUGGCAGUUUCACGCCAACAGUCAAACAUAUCGGUCGUCCGACCGAGCUGCAUCUCCUAGUAUGGAGUUACAGAAUAAAGUUGUUAACUUGUUCAA